GGAAGUCUUCCACAAUGGGCGCAAGCCUGAUGGAGCAACGCCGCGUGAGUGAAGAAGGUCUUCGGAUCGUAAAACUCUGUUGUUAGAGAAGAACGUGUGUGAGAGUGGAAAGUUCACACAGUGACGGUAACUUACCAGAAAGGGACGGCUAACUACGUGCCUG
rnacentral:rRNA from 1 species